rnacentral:rRNA from 1 species
UACGAAGGGGGCUAGCGUUGCUCGGAAUCACUGGGCGUAAAGCGCACGUAGGCGGAUUGCUAAGUCAGGGGUGAAAUCCUGGAGCUCAACUCCAGAACUGCCUUUGAUACUGGCGAUCUCGAGUCCGGGAGAGGUGAGUGGAACUGCGAGUGUAGAGGUGAAAUUCGUAGAUAUUCGCAAGAACACCAGUGGCGAAGGCGGCUCAACUGGCCCGGUACUGGACGCUGAGGUGCG